rnacentral:rRNA from 1 species
CACGUAGGGUGCGAGCGUUGUCCGGAAUUAUUGGGCGUAAAGAGCUCGUAGGCGGUGUGUCGCGUCGGCCGUGAAAACCUGCAGCUUAACUGUGGGCUUGCGGUCGAUACGGGCAUCACUGGAGUUCGGCAGGGGAGACUGGAAUUCCUGGUGUAGCGGUGAAAUGCGCAGAUAUCAGGAGGAACACCGGUGGCGAAGGCGGGUCUCUGGGCAGUUGCUGACACUGAGGCGCGACAGCGUGGGGAGCAAACAGG